CCUCUGGUCCACCUGAUAGUAUAACGCUGACUGCACCGAGGAGCUUAUCGGACUGAACGCCCAAACAAAUGAAAUACACUGACCGUGCCACCUCAGGUACACGGACUAGGCUCGUCCGCCAGCUCCGCUAGCUUCUCCACCGGCCAGAAACUACUGCGCCGACUAUAACGAGUUACAAGUCUAUCAUCAGCGUCCAAUAGCAGGAUUUUACGAAACUUAGUCGCUUUGUGCGUUUGAGUGGUCACCUCCAGUCAGGAUGUGCUUGUAUUGCCGAGAUAUCUGAAGAACACACACAGCGUCCCAUGUUCCCACGCUGAUGGUCAUUCCUCUGCAGGGACCCCGUACAACCGGGCGUGCAGAAAAAUGUACUUGCUGCCUCCAUCAUCAGGG